GGACAGGUCCUGUUCAAGCUGUGAAACACACACUCUGGAGGGAUAAGGGAGGGAGGAAGGCAUCUUUGCAGUCACUGGAGGAACAGAGCCUACAGAAGGAUCACCCUCAGAGAGUUGUCAUGAGCAUCUCCAGGCCAGACACCAUGUUUUCCACAACGCUAUACUCCCCAAGCCACACAUAUAUAACAAGUGCUGCUGAAUGCAUGGAUGAAAGAGAAUGAGGGAAGACUCCAUUGAGCAAAUGGUGGUUGAGUAGGACUUUGGAGAAUAAAUAGGAGUUUUCAAGAAAUGUCCAGGAAGUUGUUCGUGACUGGCACAGUGACUCAUGUCGCCAGGAACCCAGGAUCCAUGCAUCUUGAUGUUCUGAACUGCAAGGCUUCAACCUCAUAGUCCAAGAUGAUAGCAUCAUAUUCCAGAGGAGCAAACAGGAAAAGGGUCAGAGGACAAGAAUAAAGGGGCCUACACCUCACUGUCUCCUGAAGAAUGUUCAUGAAAACUGCCACAAGACACUUCCUUUUGCAUGCUACUGACCAUGCCUGGUUGCAAGCUGGAAAUGGAAUGCCCACUGCAGAUGGUCACAAAUCUGAGCUUCUAGAACCUGGGAAAAACUACACGGGGAUAACUACCAGUCUCUGCCAUUUAUCAUUUAAUUUAUAUAAUUAUUUCAGUUUAGAAACUUUUUCUUCUUGAAUGAGUAGAAAGAGAAUGGGCUAAGAAAUAUGUCAGAAAAUUGAAAUAAA